UUUCCGGUUGAUCCUGCCGGACCUGACUGCUAUCGGAUUGAUACUAAGCCAUGCGAGUCUUUGUAGUAAUACAAGGCAGACGGCUCAGUAACACGUAGUCAACCUACCCUAUGGACGAGAAUAAUCUCGGGAAACUGAGCAUAAUUCUUGAUAGACCAUAAUGCCUGGAAUGGUUUAUGGUUAAAAUGAUUCGUCGCCAUAGGAUGGGACUGCGGCCUAUCAGCUUGUUGGUGAGGUAAUGGCCCACCAAGGCGAUUACAGGUACGGGCUCUGAGAGGAGAAGCCCGGAGAUGGGUACUGAGACACGGACCCAGGCCCUAUGGGGCGCAGCAGGCGAGAAAACUUUGCAAUGUGCGAAAGCACGACAAGGUUAAUCCGAGUGAUUUCUGCUAAAGAAAUCUUUUGCCAGUCGUAAAACCACUGGUGAAUAAGGGGUGGGCAAGUUCUGGUGUCAGCCGCCGCGGUAAAACCAGCACCUCAAGUGGUCAGGAUGAUUAUUGGGCCUAAAGCAUCCGUAGCCGGCUUUGUAAGUUUUCGGUUAAAUCCAUGUGCUCAACGCAUGGGCUGCCGAAAAUACUGCAUAGCUAGGGAGUGGGAGAGGUAGACGGUACUCAGUAGGUAGGGGUAAAAUCCUUUGAUCUAUUGAUGACCACCUGUGGCGAAGGCGGUCUACCAGAACACGUUCGACGGUGAGGGAUGAAAGCUGGGGGAGCAAACCGGAUUAGAUACCCGGGUAGUCCCAGCUGUAAACGAUGCAGACUAGAUGAUGCAUUGGCAUAAUAGCCAUUGCAGUGUCUCAGGGAAGCCGUUAAGUCUGCCGCCUGGGAAGUACGUACGCAAGUAUGAAACUUAAAGGAAUUGGCG
rnacentral:rRNA from 1 species